rnacentral:rRNA from 1 species
UACGGGGGGGGCAAGCGUUGUUCGGAAUUACUGGGCGUAAAGGGCCUGUAGGCGGCCAACUAAGUCAGACGUGAAAUCCCUCGGCUUAACCGGGGAACUGCGUCUGAUACUGGAUGGCUCGAGUUUGGGAGAGGGAUGCGGAAUUCCAGGUGUAGCGGUGAAAUGCGUAGAUAUCUGGAGGAACACCGGUGGCGAAGGCGGCAUCCUGGACCAACACUGACGCUGAUAGGCGAAAGCCAGGGGAGCAAACGGG